rnacentral:rRNA from 1 species
UCGCUUCUACCGAUCGAAUGAUCCGGUGAAGUCUUCGGACUGCUGCUGUUCCUCGUUCGCGAGAAACGGUGGUGGGAAGUUGCCUAAACCUUAUCAUUUAGAGGAAGAAG